GGGGGUUUAGCUCAGCAGUAUAAGCACCUGCCUGGAAAGCACAAGGCCCUGAGUUCAAUCCUCGUACUCCCCA
rnacentral:tRNA from 1 species